AGCGGCGGACGGGUGAGUAACGCGUGGGAAUGUACCCUUCUCUAAGGAAUAGCCACUGGAAACGGUGAGUAAUACCUUAUACGCCCUUCGGGGGAAAGAUUUAUCGGAGAAGGAUCAGCCCGCGUUGGAUUAGAUAGUUGGUGGGGUAAUGGCCUACCAAGUCUACGAUCCAUAGCUGGUUUGAGAGGAUGAUCAGCCACACUGGGACUGAGACACGGCCCAGACUCCUACGGGAGGCAGCAGUGGGGAAUCUUAGACAAUGGGGGAAACCCUGAUCUAGCCAUGCCGCGUGAGUGAUGAAGGCCUUAGGGUCGUAAAGCUCUUUCGCCAGGGAUGAUAAUGACAGUACCUGGUAAAGAAACCCCGGCUAACUCCGUGCCAGCAGCCGCGGUAAUACGGAGGGGGUUAGCGUUGUUCGGAAUUACUGGCCGUAAAGCGCACGUAGGCGGACUAGUCAGUCAGAGGUGAAAUCCCAGGGCUCAACCCUGGAACUGCCUUUGAUACUGCUAGUCUUGAGUUCGAGAGAGGUGAGUGGAAUUCCGAGUGUAGAGGUGUAAUUCGUAGAUAUUCGGAGGAACACCAGUGGCGAAGGCGGCUCACUGGCUCGAUACUGACGCUGAGGUGCGAAAGUGUGGGGAGCAAACAGGAUUAGAUACCCUGGUAGUCCACACCGUAAACGAUGAAUGCCAGUCGUCGGGCA
rnacentral:rRNA from 1 species